GACGAACGCUGGCGGCGUGCUUAACACAUGCAAGUCGAACGGAAAGGCCCUGCUUUUGUGGGUUGCUCGAGUGGCGAACGGGUGAGUAACACGUGAGUAACCUGUCCUUGACUUUGGGAUAACUUUAGUAAACUGGGGCUAAUAUCGGAUAGGAGUUUUUGCUGCAUGGUGGGGGUUGGAAAGUUUCGGGGGUUGGAGAUGGACUCGCGGCUUAUCAGCUUGUUGGUGGAGUAGUGUCUCACCAAUGCUUUGACGUGUAGCCGGCCUGAGGGUGUGACCGACCUCGUUGGUGCUGACGUACGUCACAGAUUCCUACGGGAGGCAGCAGUUGAGAAUUUUGCACUAUGGGCGGAAGCCUCGUGCGGCAACGCCGCGUGCCGGAUGACGGGCUUCGGGGUGUAAACCGCUUUCGCCGGUGAGGAAGCGGGGGUGACGGAAAUGGGUAAAGAAGCACCGGCUAACUACGUG
rnacentral:rRNA from 1 species